AUUGAACGCUGGCGGCAGGCCUAACACAUGCAAGUCGAACGGUAACAGGAAGCAGCUUGCUGCUUCGCUGACGAGUGGCGGACGGGUGAGUAAUGUCUGGGAAGCUGCCUGCUGGAGGGGGAUAACUACUGGAAACGGUAGCUAAUACCGCAUAAUGUCGCAAGCACAAAGAGGGGGACCUUCGGGCCUCUUGCCAUCGGAUGUGCCCAGAUGGGAUUCGCUUGUUGGUGGGGUAACGGCUCACCAAGGCGACGAUCCCUAGCUGGUCUGAGAGGAUGACCAGCCACACGGGAACGGAGACGCGGUCCAGACUACUACGGGAGGGAGCAGUGGGGAAUAGUGCACAAUGGGCGCAAGCCUGAUGCAGUCAUGCCGCGUGUAUGAAGAAGGCCUUCGGGUUGUAAAGUACUUUCAGCGGGGAGGAAGGGAGUAAAGUUAAUACCUUUGCUCAUUGACGUUACUCGCAGAAGAAGCACCGGCUAACUCCGUG
rnacentral:rRNA from 1 species